rnacentral:rRNA from 1 species
UUAAGUUAUUAAGGGCGCACGGUGGAUGCCUUGGCACUAGAAGCCGAUGAAGGACGUUACUAACGACGAUAUGCUUUGGGGAGCUGUAAGUAAGCUUUGAUCCAGAGAUUUCCGAAUGGGGAAACCCAGCAUGAGUUAUGUCAUGUUAUCGAUAUGUGAAUACAUAGCAUAUCAGAAGGCACACCCGGAGAACUGAAACAUCUUAGUACCCGGAGGAAGAGAAAGAAAAUUCGAUUCCCUUAGUAGCGGCGAGCGAAACGGGAAGAGCCCAAACCAACAAGCUUGCUUGUUGGGGUUGUAGGACACUCUAUACGGAGUUACAAAGGACGACAUUAGACGAAUCAUCUGGAAAGAUGAAUCAAAGAAGGUAAUAAUCCUGUAGUCGAAAAUGUUGUCUCUCUUGAGUGGAUCCUGAGUACGACGGAGCACGUGAAAUUCCGUCGGAAUCUGGGAGGACCAUCUCCUAAGGCUAAAUACUCUCUAGUGACCGAUAGUGAACCAGUACCGUGAGGGAAAGGUGAAAAGCACCCCGGAAGGGGAGUGAAAUAGAACCUGAAACCGUGUGCUUACAAGUAGUCAGAGCCCGUUAAUGGGUGAUGGCGUGCCUUUUGUAGAAUGAACCGGCGAGUUACGAUUUGAUGCAAGGUUAAGCAGUAAAUGUGGAGCCGUAGCGAAAGCGAGUCUGAAUAGGGCGUUUAGUAUUUGGUCGUAGACCCGAAACCAGGUGAUCUACCCUUGGUCAGGUUGAAGUUCAGGUAACACUGAAUGGAGGACCGAACCGACUUACGUUGAAAAGUGAGCGGAUGAACUGAGGGUAGCGGAGAAAUUCCAAUCGAACCUGGAGAUAGCUGGUUCUCUCCGAAAUAGCUUUAGGGCUAGCCUCAAGUGAUGAUUAUUGGAGGUAGAGCACUGUUUGGACGAGGGGCCCCUCUCGGGUUACCGAAUUCAGACAAACUCCGAAUGCCAAUUAAUUUAACUUGGGAGUCAGAACAUGGGUGAUAAGGUCCAUGUUCGAAAGGGAAACAGCCCAGACCACCAGCUAAGGUCCCAAAAUAUAUGUUAAGUGGAAAAGGAUGUGGCGUUGCCCAGACAACUAGGAUGUUGGCUUAGAAGCAGCCAUCAUUUAAAGAGUGCGUAAUAGCUCACUAGUCGAGUGACACUGCGCCGAAAAUGUACCGGGGCUAAACAUAUUACCGAAGCUGUGGAUUGUCCUUUGGACAAUGGUAGGAGAGCGUUCUAAGGGCGUUGAAGCAUGAUCGUAAGGACAUGUGGAGCGCUUAGAAGUGAGAAUGCCGGUGUGAGUAGCGAAAGACGGGUGAGAAUCCCGUCCACCGAUUGACUAAGGUUUCCAGAGGAAGGCUCGUCCGCUCUGGGUUAGUCGGGUCCUAAGCUGAGGCCGACAGGCGUAGGCGAUGGAUAACAGGUUGAUAUUCCUGUACCACCUAUAAUCGUUUUAAUCGAUGGGGGGACGCAGUAGGAUAGGCGAAGCGUGCGAUUGGAUUGCACGUCUAAGCAGUAAGGCUGAGUAUUAGGCAAAUCCGGUACUCGUUAAGGCUGAGCUGUGAUGGGGAGAAGACAUUGUGUCUUCGAGUCGUUGAUUUCACACUGCCGAGAAAAGCCUCUAGAUAGAAAAUAGGUGCCCGUACCGCAAACCGACACAGGUAGUCAAGAUGAGAAUUCUAAGGUGAGCGAGCGAACUCUCGUUAAGGAACUCGGCAAAAUGACCCCGUAACUUCGGGAGAAGGGGUGCUCUUUAGGGUUAACGCCCAGAAGAGCCGCAGUGAAUAGGCCCAAGCGACUGUUUAUCAAAAACACAGGUCUCUGCUAAACCGUAAGGUGAUGUAUAGGGGCUGACGCCUGCCCGGUGCUGGAAGGUUAAGAGGAGUGGUUAGCUUCUGCGAAGCUACGAAUCGAAGCCCCAGUAAACGGCGGCCGUAACUAUAACGGUCCUAAGGUAGCGAAAUUCCUUGUCGGGUAAGUUCCGACCCGCACGAAAGGCGUAACGAUUUGGGCACUGUCUCAACGAGAGACUCGGUGAAAUCAUAGUACCUGUGAAGAUGCAGGUUACCCGCGACAGGACGGAAAGACCCCGUGGAGCUUUACUGUAGCCUGAUAUUGAAAUUCGGCACAGCUUGUACAGGAUAGGUAGGAGCCUUUGAAACGUGAGCGCUAGCUUACGUGGAGGCGCUGGUGGGAUACUACCCUAGCUGUGUUGGCUUUCUAACCCGCACCACUUAUCGUGGUGGGAGACAGUGUCAGGCGGGCAGUUUGACUGGGGCGGUCGCCUCCUAAAAGGUAACGGAGGCGCUCAAAGGUUCCCUCAGAAUGGUUGGAAAUCAUUCAUAGAGUGUAAAGGCAUAAGGGAGCUUGACUGCGAGACCUACAAGUCGAGCAGGGUCGAAAGACGGACUUAGUGAUCCGGUGGUUCCGCAUGGAAGGGCCAUCGCUCAACGGAUAAAAGCUACCCCGGGGAUAACAGGCUUAUCUCCCCCAAGAGUUCACAUCGACGGGGAGGUUUGGCACCUCGAUGUCGGCUCAUCGCAUCCUGGGGCUGUAGUCGGUCCCAAGGGUUGGGCUGUUCGCCCAUUAAAGCGGUACGCGAGCUGGGUUCAGAACGUCGUGAGACAGUUCGGUCCCUAUCCGUCGUGGGCGUAGGAAAUUUGAGAGGAGCUGUCCUUAGUACGAGAGGACCGGGAUGGACAUACCUCUGGUGUACCAGUUGUCGUGCCAACGGCAUAGCUGGGUAGCUAUGUGUGGACGGGAUAAGUGCUGAAAGCAUCUAAGCAUGAAGCCCCCCUCAAGAUGAGAUUUCCCAACUUCGGUUAUAAGAUCCCUCAAAGAUGAUGAGGUUAAUAGGUUCGAGGUGGAAGCAUGGUGACAUGUGGAGCUGACGAAUACUAAUCGAUCGAAGACUUAAUCAA